rnacentral:rRNA from 1 species
UACGAGGGGGGCAAGCGUUGUUCGGAAUUACUGGGCGUAAAGCGCACGCAGGUGGCUGAGUCAGUCGAUUGUGAAAGCCCUGGGCUUAACCUGGGAAUUGCAGUCGAUACUACUCAGCUAGAGUAUGGGAGAGGGCAGUGGAAUUCCCGGUGUAGCGGUGAAAUGCGUAGAUAUCGGGAGGAACAUCAGUGGCGAAGGCGGCUGCCUGGCCCAAUACUGACACUCAGGUGCGACAGCGUGGGGAGCAAACAGG